rnacentral:rRNA from 1 species
CCUACGGGUGGCAGCAGUGGGGGAUAUUGCUCAAUGGGGGGAACCCUGAUGCAGCGACGCCGCGUGGGGGAUGAAGGUCUUCGGCUCGUAAAGCCCUUUUAGCAGGGAAGAAAAUGACGGUAUCUCACGAAUAAGCCCCGGCUAACUCCGUGCCAGCAGCCGCGGUAAUACGGAGGGUGCAAGCGUUAUUCGGAAUCACUGGGCGUAAAGGGGGCGCAGGCGGGGUUGUAAGCCAGGUGUGAAAGCCCGGGGCCUAACUCCAGAACUGCACUUGAAACUGGGUGGCUGGAGUGCAGGAGGGGCAGGCGGAAUUCGUGGUGUAGCGGUGAAAUGCGUAGAUAUCAGGAGGAACA